rnacentral:lncRNA from 1 species
GGAUGGUGACUAAAGGUUCUCCUGGAUUCCCCGUUUCAGACCAUAAUCCCCCCGUGAUACAGAUGUCAGGGGUUCCAUCCUCAGUCCAUGUGAAUGAGUGGGCCAGAGUGUCCCGCGCGUGCUGUAUUUUCUCGCCAGCAAGAAAUACACGCAGGACACUCGGAUCCUUCUGCAGACAAGCUUUAAUGCAUCAGCUUACCAGAGCGGAGACUGAGCGGAGACACUGAACCAAGAAAACCCAUCCCUAAUAAAGGCUGGCCAGCCGCCUGGGACGUGUUACCCUAUGAAUGGCUUCAACUCCUCAGGCCAAAUGAGCCACGGGAUAGGCAGAGAUCAAAGGAAUGGAGAUUACCCAGCGCCUGUGAAGUAAUUUACAUCUUGGUGUCUUUAGGCACCAUCAUUGUAAUGGAGCAUGCAGGAAACGGCCC